GUGAGUCAUCGAAUCUUUGAACGCACAUUGCGCCUCUCGUGAGGGAGGCAUGCCUGUCUGAGUGUCGUUUAAAUCUCUAGGCCUUCACUCCUUAGUGGAGCCUGUCUUGGGCCUCGCCCCCUGCGGCGUCGCCUGAAUAUCAUUGGUCUCAUCCGUGGACGAGUCCCAGUAGGGCGGACCAUGGUGGGACCCUAAGCAUCUCUGAAUUUGACCUCAGAUCAGGUAGGAACACCGCCUGAACUUAAGCAUAUCAAUAAGCGGAGGA
rnacentral:misc_RNA from 1 species